GGGGGCGGUGUCCUGGGGGCGCAGCGAGCUGGGGGAAUGGGGGCCCCGGGGAUGUGGCCUGGUCUAGAGGUGGGUCUGGUCCCAGGCGGAUGGUGGGUCUGGUUGGGCACGGGAACCUAGUCCUGGCGGGGUGCGGGGUGGGGUGUUGUUGAGGAUAGGCCGGGUUCUGGGCCGGGGGAUGGUCCGGUCUGGGAGUUAUGGGGGCCCGGCCCGGGGAGGGGUAGGGGUGAGGUGGGCUGGGUCCUGGAGGGUGGGCCCGCCCCGCAGCCCGGCCCCGCCCCACCCGACCCCACUAGCCGCGUCCGGUCCUUGCAGGAGCCGCAGCUCGAGUCCGUCCGCUCUGCGGGCCAGCUGAGGAGGGGCGCGCACGGACGCAGGGACGCACGGACGCUGAAGCCCGCCCCGGAGCAUGUGGAAGCUGGGCAGGAGCCGGGUGCUUCUGGAUGAGCCCCCCGAGGAGGAAGAGGGCCUGCCAGGAGGGCCGCCGUCGGCUGCUGCCCCCGCUGCCGCCGCGGCGCAGAUCAGUGUACAGAAUACUGUCUUCAGAGCAGCCAAGUGAAGCAUUAACUGUUUCUCUACUUAACCUGCGGGGUUUCUGUGGUGUAUUGUCGAGAGCCAUCCUGUCAGCGAGAUGGACGCCAGCGAGGGAGCCACUUCUGUCCAGGUAUCGUCUGUACAGACGGCCUUCCGCCCUCCUGGCCAUCCCCAAAGCUUGAUGCUCCAGUGGAGUGACUGGUGUGUCCCUUGUGUUGGGCCGAGGGAACCACAGGAACUGUCUUUGUGAUCAGGGGUGGCACUUCUUUCCUCCAAGGCCGUUGGCCAUGACUGCAUGGCAUGUCAUGUCCUAUCUGACUCUCCCUGGAGCCGGGAGCUGACGGAGCCAAGGGUUUGGCCUCACAGUUUGACUGGAAGCCUGGGCUGGGUCCAUGAAGUCACUUUCCUCUAGGAUUACCAGUUUCCCAGUAAUUCACUGUGUAAACAGAAGGUUAUUGUGACUUCUAAAAUCUAGAAUGGUUAGAAAGAAAAUUAGGCUUUUUUAUGACAUUGUCAUUGAAACCUUAGCCUGGCCAUGACUCACUGCAGUUUUCCUUGGAGGCCCUAGACCAGCCUGUUCCCUGUGGGGUCCCAGGGCAUGCCCACUCCUCCUGGGGGCUGGGAAGUAAGGCCCUACAGGGACAUCAUCCUCAGGCAGGGUGGUGGCUGUGGUGACGCCAAGGAGAGGCUGGCACAGUGUACAACCUGAGUACUUUUUACUCUGAAGAAGCUGCCAGACACAUUUAAGCCCUCCUUAAUGAAUGAGUGACGGUCCUACAGGGCAACUCUGGAGUUAGGAUCUGUGCACUUUGACCUCUUUGAUCCACAUAAGAAGAUGCACUAUCAUGUGGGUGACUAUAGGGGACAGGGCUGCAGUGACAGUGGCUCAUAUCUCCUGCCUAGUGUAGGUGACCACUGUGGGGUGACAGCAGUGCUUUCCUGAUAAAAUGCUGGGAUACCUGACCCAAGGAAGAUUAACGUGCUUCUCCUGUUUGAACGUAAGUACCUCUUACCAAAGCAGUCACGUUCCAUGGGAUCUGGGCUGGUACCCUUGGGCCUUGUGGUCUCCACAGAACUGACCCUUGCAUUUGUUCCUGAUUUUCAGAGAUAUUUUGGCAUAUUUCCUUUGCUCCCAUCAUUUAAAUGGUGUAUCUCGUUUAUUAGCAUUGAGUUUUGCUCUUA
rnacentral:lncRNA from 1 species